CCUACGGGUGGCAGCAGUGGGGGAUAUUGCACAAUGGGGGGAACCCUGAUGCAGCGACGCCGCGUGGGUGAAGAAGCGCCUCGGCGCGUAAAGCCCUGUCAGCAGGGAAGAAAAUGACGGUACCUGAAGAAGAAGCCCCGGCUAACUCAGUGCCAGCAGCCGCGGUAAUACGUAGGGGGCAAGCGUUAUCCGGAUUUACUGGGUGUAAAGGGGGCGCAGGCGGCGAUGCAAGCCAGGAGUGAAAGCCCGGGGGCCAACCCCGGGACUGCUCUUGGAACUGCGUGGCUGGAGUGCAGGUGGGGCAGGCGGAAUUCCUGGUGUAGCGGUGAAAUGCGUAGAUAUCAGGAGGAACACCGGUGGCGAAGGCGGCCUGCUGGACUGCAACUGACGUUGAGGCCCGAAAGCGUGGGGAGCAAACAGGAUUAGAUACCCGGGUAGUC
rnacentral:rRNA from 1 species